UGAACCAAUGAUGACAGAGUACUAGGAACCAAGGAUAAAGGUUAACUUAAUUUUGUGUACCUGAGGUCUACU
ensembl:snoRNA